rnacentral:tRNA from 1 species
GGGUGCUUGGUCCAGUGGUAAGACGCUCGCAUUCAGUGCGAGAAACCCACGUUCGAAUCGUGGAGUGCCCA